rnacentral:rRNA from 1 species
GACGAACGCUGGCGGCGUGCUUAACACAUGCAAGUCGAACGGAAAGGCCCUGCUUGCAGGGUACUCGAGUGGCGAACGGGUGAGUAACACGUGGGUGAUCUGCCCUGCACUUCGGGAUAAGCCUGGGAAACUGGGUCUAAUACCGGAUAGGAGCCAUUUUUAGUGUGAUGGUUGGAAAGUUUUUUCGGUGUAGGAUGAGCUCGCGGCCUAUCAGCUUGUUGGUGGGGUAAUGGCCUACCAAGGCGGCGACGGGUAGCCGGCCUGAGAGGGUGGACGGCCACAUUGGGAAUGAGAUACGGCCCAGACUCCUACGGGAGGCAGCAGUGGGGAAUAUUGAACAAUGGGCGCAAGCCUGAUGCAGCGACGCCGCGUGGGGGAUGACGGCCUUCGGGUUGUAAACUCCUUUCGCUAGGGACGAAGCUUUUUGUGACGGUACCUAGAUAAGAAGCACCGGCUAACUACGUG